CACCAAAAUGCAAAAGCACUUGUGCGGAUGUUUCAAAUCUCUAAAAGUCAAGCUAAAGCUAUCAUCAGUACUUGCCCUGACUGUCAGCAUGUGCAGCCUCUGUUUCUACAGGAGCAGUCAACCCCCGAGGUGCUGGAAUUAAGUGGGUCCCUGCCAAAAACAUCAAACCAUAUCACACCUCAGAACCUGUUGAUGAGCCCAGAACCGAGGAAGCAAGUAUGCAGACGUGAGCCGAACAGAGGGAUCCCGGGUCACGCCUGACGUUCCUUGUGCCUGACAUUCUUUGUGCAUCAGUGGAACCUGCAAACUCUAAUUUUGUGUUAAUGUUAUUUAUGAGUGUGUCAAUUGUAUGUUGAAUGUUUGUUUAACAGAGCUGAUUUUUGGCAAAUAUUUAGGUUAUUGUUUUUGUGGAGAACAAAAUUUUAAAAUUGAUAUAUCUGUAAAGAUUCUGCCAAAACUUAGCUCAUGAAAAAGAUGGAGCAAAUGCAAGUUGUAUGUUCGUAUUGGUGGAUUUUAAUUGUUUUUUGUCAUGCAGAUUUGCCUGUGGAACAAACAAAAACAAAUGUUUGGGUGACCUUAGCCAAGGCAGCCGGCUCAGAUACUAUAUGUUUGUCUAACUCAGAACCAGAAAAACCUUUUUCAACCUGUCUGGUUCAUGUGCCAGUAAAAGAAUUGCUUUUGGUCAAAAAUCAAUCCCAUGGUAAGCCAGGUGGAAUUGACAAUGGAAACAAUCCCUCAUUGAAUUGGAAUGUCUGGUCCAAAAAACUUCCCAAGGCAGCAUCUGAACCUCAAGAAUUAGAAAUGCUUGGCUCUUUAACCAUGGAUUUUUGCUUUACUUUCACAGCUAGUGCCUGGUGAAAAGGUGAUCCCCCAAAGUACAAUGUUACUCCUCAUUAUUUUGCAUAUAGAAAUUUGAGUUGUUGGUGUAAGUUUUCAAACAGUUGAGAUGUGCUUUCUGAGGCUGAUCAAUAUCCACGGCAAUUGGUUCAUUUGUGGAGACAGACCUUGGAAAGGCAUUCCAGCGCACCUUGAAUGUGGCCCUUGUAACAUUGGGAUGCUCACUAUAAUUGCACCCACUGCCAAAGCAGUGAUGAAAAAGAAACAAAGGAGAACGAGAGCUAUUCCUCAUUAUGAGGAGAACUGUCAGAGUGAUUUUAUGCCUUGGAAAGCUGCCAGAAGGAUUUCAGCAGGGUUGUUUUUACCCCAAUUGGCUUCAGCAAUGGCAUUGAAAUAAUUAGAUCGAGUUGGAUGCUGGCUGAGCAAACAAGCUAAUGUCACAUCCUCUGCAAUUAGUGAUAUGUUAACAGAUGUUGAUAGUGUUAGACAUGCUACUAUUCAAAAUAGACCAGCAAUUGAUUUUCUUUUAGUUGCACAAGGGCAUGGUUGUGAGAAAUUUGAAGGAUUGUGUUGUAUGAAUUUGUCCGAUCAUUCUGAAUCCAUUCACAGAAGCAUACAAAAACUGAAAGAUUUGACAGCUCAAAUUAAAGAAGACGGUGGUUCCUGGCUAGAUGAUUUGUUUCAAGAAUGGAGCUUUGCACCUUGGCUAAGACAAUUUUGCAAGAUAGGUCUUUAUGUAUUCAGUAUUCUGAUAUUGAUAUUGAUAGUAAUACCCUGCAUACUUCAGUGUGUGCGGCGAAUGAUGAACAAAACGGUCCGAGAAGUUUUUGUCAUAUAAGAGAGAGAAUUAGGAAGUAGAAGCACAGAGAGUGUUCGAAAUCUCACAGAAAUAGUGGAAAAAGGUGUAGGAAUGGAGGAAGGUUUUGAAUUAAGACCCUGGAAUCGACAAGAGUUUUUUGAACAAUGACUUGUAACUAUUGUCAGACGUGAUUCAUAUCUCUUUCAAGGACUGGGCCUUCACAGCAUUAAGUUGCUGUGCUGUAACAUAGCAAUGCUUAGGAUCAGCGUGAAUAGGCCUCCAGCAGAUAGGAAGCAGAAAUUUUACAGUAGAGCUAUGAAACGCAAGUAGUAAAUGACAAGAAAAUGAAGGUUUCUUUUUGAGUCAACAGAGAGGGGGGAUUGUUGGGAUUUAUAAAAUUAGAGGGUUUUGAGAAAGUGGUUAAAAAGGCCGGCCUCAGACACCAGACCUGUGAACAUUGCUAAUACAGCGAAAAUUUUUCUAAGCAGUAGAGCAGACGUAAGAAAUAGAACAAUAAGCUCCUGUGGUCUGUCUAUAUAGGUUGCAACAAGGUUAUUUAAUGUAUGUCUUUAGAAGGUUAGUAUGAAUGAGUCUCUGUGCUUUGUCUCUCAUAAACGAGCCAUUGUGUUAGAAAAUAAGUCCCUAUUGUGUUAACUACCAUUACGUGUGUUUCAUAUGAUUGGAUAGAAUUAUUGUCAAUAUGUUUUGCUGUAUGUGUGAUUGGCUGAAACCUAGGCUGAGAUGGCUUGUGCUACCCUGUAACGUGACGUUUCCUUGGCAUUCCAGUUGAAUCAGAGAGCUGUGAACAUACUGUCUCCAUUGUCCUAACAAUGUACUGAGACUGAUGUGUGAAAUAAACAGCUCACGACACAGA